AACGAACGCUGGCGGCAGGCUUAACACAUGCAAGUCGAGCGAGACCUUCGGGUCUAGCGGCGGACGGGUGCGUAACGCGUGGGAACGUGCCCUUCUCUACGGAAUAGCUCCGGGAAACUGGGAGUAAUACCGUAUACGCCCUUUGGGGGAAAGAUUUAUCGGAGAAGGAUCGGCCCGCGUUGGAUUAGGUAGUUGGUGGGGUAAUGGCCCACCAAGCCGACGAUCCAUAGCUGGUUUGAGAGGAUGAUCAGCCACACUGGGACUGAGACACGGCCCAGACUCCUACGGGAGGCAGCAGUGGGGAAUCUUAGACAAUGGGGGCAACCCUGAUCGAGCCAUGCCGCGUGAGUGAUGAAGGCCUUAGGGUUGUAAAGCUCUUUUAGCUGGGAAGAUAAUGACGGUACCAGCAGAAGAAGCCCCGGCUAACUCCGUG
rnacentral:rRNA from 1 species